rnacentral:rRNA from 1 species
AUGAAACGAAACCAGAGGAAGGAGGCCCCCUCGACUCCUCUCUUGAUCUGUUUCCUAGGGACUGAAUGCCGCCGCCGCCGCCGAUCCCAUCUUCCCCGGCGACAUGCCUCGCCGGCUGCCUCCUCUCCCCCAUCCAUGCCGGCGACCUCCCUCUACCUGCCCUCUCCGUCAACCCGUCUCUCCAGCAGCUCAAGCGAAACCCUAGCCCACCCGAUGCCACGGCGACCUAGCAGGCAGGCGCGAGGAGCCCUGCCCAGCCAUGGCGACACCGCCGGUGGCCUCCUCCUCCCCCUCACCUUCUCUCCCUCUCCCAAGGGAGGGAAGGGAAUGGAAGGGAUCCGGCGGCAAGGGAAGGCAGCGCCUAGAUCCGCAGCCGCACCGGCGGGCCGCCAUACCUCGAGGUCGUCCAUGGAGGUCCGAACGUGA